rnacentral:rRNA from 1 species
AGAGUUUGAUCCUGGCUCAGGAUGAACGCUAGCUACAGGCUUAACACAUGCAAGUCGAGGGGCAGCAUGGUCUUAGCUUGCUAAGGCCGAUGGCGACCGGCGCACGGGUGAGUAACGCGUAUCCAACCUGCCUUACACUCUUGGACAGCCUUCUGAAAGGGAGAUUAAUACAAGAUGUUAUCAUGAGUAAGCAUUUUCGCAUGAUUAAAGGUUUACCGGUGUAAGAUGGGGAUGCGUUCCAUUAGAUAGUAGGCGGGGUAACGGCCCACCUAGUCUUCGAUGGAUAGGGGUUCUGAGAGGAAGGUCCCCCACAUUGGAACUGAGACACGGUCCAAACUCCUACGGGAGGCAGCAGUGAGGAAUAUUGGUCAAUGGACGAGAGUCUGAACCAGCCAAGUAGCGUGAAGGAUGAAGGUUCUAUGGAUUGUAAACUUCUUUUAUACGGGAAUAAACGAAUCCACGUGUGGAUUUUUGCAUGUACCGUAUGAAUAAGGAUCGGCUAACUCCGUGCCAGCAGCCGCGGUAAUACGGAGGAUCCGAGCGUUAUCCGGAUUUAUUGGGUUUAAAGGGAGCGUAGAUGGGUUGUUAAGUCAGUUGUGAAAGUUUGCGGCUCAACCGUAAAAUUGCAAUUGAUACUGGCAGUCUUGAGUACAGUUGAGGUAGGCGGAAUUCGUGGUGUAGCGGUGAAAUGCUUAGAUAUCACGAAGAACUCCGAUUGCGAAGGCAGCUUACUAACCUGUAACUGACAUUGAUGCUCGAAAGUGUGGGUAUCAAACAGGAUUAGAUACCCUGGUAGUCCACACGGUAAACGAUGAAUACUCGCUGUAGGCGAUAUACAGUCUGCGGCCAAGCGAAAGCAUUAAGUAUUCCACCUGGGGAGUACGCCGGCAACGGUGAAACUCAAAGGAAU